rnacentral:rRNA from 1 species
UACGGAGGGUGCAAGCGUUGCUCGGAAUUAUUGGGCGUAAAGGGUAGGUAGGUGGUCUCAUUUGUCUGGGGUGAAAGCCUUGAGCUUAACUCAAGAAGUGCCCCGGAGACGGUGAGACUGGAGUCCUGGAGAGGGUCGUGGAAUUCCCGGUGUAGCGGUGAAAUGCGUAGAGAUCGGGAGGAACACCAGAGGCGAAAGCGGCGACCUGGACAGGCACUGACACUCAACUACGAAAGCGUGGGGAGCAAACAGG